GACGAACGCUGGCGGCGUGCCUAAUACAUGCAAGUAGAACGCUGAAGGAGGAGCUUGCUCUUCUGGAUGAGUUGCGAACGGGUGAGUAACGCGUAGGUAACCUGCCUGGUAGCGGGGGAUAACUAUUGGAAACGAUAGCUAAUACCGCAUAACAGUAGAUGUUGCAUGACAUUUGCUUAAAAGGUGCAAUUGCACCACUACCAGAUGGACCUGCGUUGUAUUAGCUAGUUGGUGGGGUAACGGCUCACCAAGGCGACGAUACAUAGCCGACCUAAGAGGGUGAUCGGCCACACUGGGACUGAGACACGGCCCAGACUCCUACGGGAGGCAGCAGUAGGGAAUCUUCGGCAAUGGACGGAAGUCUGACCGAGCAACGCCGCGUGAGUGAAGAAGGGUGUCGGAUCGUAAAGCUCUGUUGUAAGAGAAGAACGAGUGUGAGAGUGGAAAGUUCACACUGUGACGGUAGCUUACCAGAAAGGGACGGCUAACUACGUG
rnacentral:rRNA from 1 species